rnacentral:rRNA from 1 species
AACUGUGUGCGGUGGAUCACUUGGCUCGCGCGUCGAUGAAGAGA